rnacentral:tRNA from 1 species
GGGGGUGUAGCUCAGUUGGUAGAGCACUUGCCCAACAUGCAGGAGACUCUUGAUUUCACCCCUA